rnacentral:tRNA from 1 species
UAUACUUAAGUAUAAGAUGUACAUAAAUUUUUGAUAUUUAAAGGAAUGGGUUGGUUCCAUUAGGUGUAA